rnacentral:rRNA from 1 species
CCCUUAGAUGUUCUGGGCCGCACGCGUGCUACACUGAGUGGAUCAGCGGGUCAGGUUGCGCGAAAGUGUUUCCUAAUCUUGAAAUCCGCUCGUGAUGGGGAUUGACGGUUGCAAUUUUCCGUCAUGAACGAGGAAUACCUUGUAAGCGCGGGUCAUCAUCCCGCGCUGAAUACGUCCCUGCCCUUUGUACACACCGCCCGUCGCUACUACCGAUUGGAUGGCUUAGUGAGCCUUUGGGAUUGGCAGCUUGUACCGGCAACGGUGGCAGGCAGCCGAAAACUUAGGCAAACUUGGUCAUUUAGAGGAAGUAAAAGUCGUAACA